GUCAAUUGACUCGUUGCAUUCUCCCGGAGUAGAGGUUGGUCCGCGUUUCGCCAAUUGGAUUCUGGCUGUCUACCUGACCAAAAUCACCAUCCGACCCUUGAGGAGAAAAAGUAGGGUGGAGACAGAGAUUGAUCAGUUUCGACCAGGUUCUGUGCGUUCCGAGAACGUCGUCGGUGGACGUGUCGGUUUCGAAGUUACCCGCGAGUGCCGUGAAAAUCCUGACCCUGAGCAACUCCCGUAGUGCGACCUCGUUCAGUUCUUCUGGGUGUCCUCCGCAGUGUUUCCUUCGGAACAAAACCACCACCCAUCAAUUCCCCGUGAAGAGAAAGCGAGAGAGCGGAAGGACAACCAAGCAGUAGUCUAGGAGUCGCUGGGCGGGCGAACCAGUGUCAAGGAAAAUUCCAGCAGAAUAGUAAAGGGGGGAUAAUACAGAAUACAGUCGAGCAGUGGGAGAGGGAGUGGGAGUUCGUGACGAGGAAUAGGGCGGGAGUGCACUUCAAUGCUGCAGUGAAUACGAGCAAAAGCGAGCUUGCAGUCUUCAGAGUCAGAGUCAGUGUCGUCCCCUCCCCCACACCCUUCAACAUCGAAAAUAUUUUUCCUGCAGAGGAAAAAUAGUGAGCCUAAUAAGUGUGUGGUGGUCCCCCCAAAUUCCCCCCGUUUUCCUAGAGGGGACGAGCAAAUGAAGAGCCCCGGCGGCGGCGGCGGCAAGGCAAAGCAGGCUGUGAAGAAAAAGUGACGUGAUUUUCGCCACCACCAAGUAGGCCUCUCUUUUUGGUACGAGGAGGGAAAUUCGCGCUCGCGUGUGUGUGUAGUGGUAGAAGUAGGCCUAACCUUCCCGCAUUCGAAUUGGGGUUUGUGGGGAUAGGCAGUGGCACUGGAAAAUUGAAAUAAAAAAACGAGAUUCUGCUGUGGAGGUCCUGUACGAGUGGUGUGCUUUCUGCGGAGCAGAAGGAAGCAGGAAGGCGAGUGUGGAACCAAAUCCGAGCUGAGCAGAAUCACCCUCGCCUUGAAGAAGAGUGUAUUGUGCCCCGAAGAAAAAGUGCGAAUCUAAAAGUUUCCGUCGUCGUCGCCGUCGACGGUGUAAUAUCGAAAGUUCGGGAAAAAGUGCUCAUCUCGCGUCUCGGAGGGGUUUUAAGUUCUCGGCGCAAUGGCCUGGGGUUAUUGGAGUGCGACGGCCGUUGAUCGGGGUCGGUCCCCGCGGCGAAACACCCAACAGCAACAGCAGCAGCAGCAAUAUCCCUACCAGAAUCAGAACUACCAGCAGUAUAGUUUGGCUCAGUCACAGCACCAGCAGUCGACGCAGUGCCUGAACAGUUGCCCACAGGCGGCGGAACCUCCGCCACCGGUUCCGCCCCAGCAGCAACCAAUUCAGCAACAGCAGCAACCGAUUCAACAGCAACAACAGCAGCAGCAGCAAGUUUGCGGCAGUCCUUGUCACAGUCCUUGCCACAGUCCCCAGUUCAUCGAGCAAAUUCCACCGGACUUGCCCUGCACUCCGGUUUGCACGUACUCACGUCGACAGUCACUUGAUAGUCCACAGGCCAGCCAGUUGUCGGACAUCAUUUGCCGGGCGGCGCAGCCUUCGAUCCAGUCGGCCGGCAAUACCCUGACGAGGGGAACUUCCCUGCGGGACACCGGAGACUACGCGGUUCCGCAUCCCCAUCCCCAUACGCAUCACUACAUGACGACUUCGGAUACGCCGCGGACCCUGAGUCGGGUGGGUUCCUGUCCGGGUUCGACGGGAGGUUCCGGUUCGGCCCAUGGGUCCGGAUCCGGAUCUAGUCCUGGUGCUGGACCUGGGAGCGGCGGGGGAGGUGGCGGUGGAGGACGGGAAUCGAUCAUCGGAAGCAGUAUGGGCAUUUGCGGGAUGGGUAUACUGGGGGGAAGUCAAGGGGCGGGGCUGGAGUACGUGGAGUGUUCGCACUACGACCGGAUGCCGUUGCCGAUUCCGGUGAAGAUACCGGUGGUGCCACCGCCGCAGAUGCACUCCGAGGACGAAAUCGAGCCGGCCUACGCUACAGUUUUUCCAAAUGUCCCGACGGCUCCGGGAAUGUCCUGCAUCGGUGAAGACCGAAGCAUCUACCGAAGAGGUGCCAGGAGAUGGCGAAAACUUUACCGGAUAAAUGGACACAUAUUCCAGGCGAAACGAUUCAAUCGGAAAGCCUUCUGUGCGUUCUGCCACGACCGCAUCUGGGGUCUCGGCCGGCAGGGCUUCAAGUGCAUCCAGUGCAAGCUGCUGGUGCACAAAAAGUGCCACAAGUUAGGCAACAAACCGUGCAGCAACGAACACGUGGAACCGGUCUACAAGGAGCGUGAUCACCCAGAUCUGAAUGACGAAUCGAGCACCGGUGAUGUGAUUCAACCUCCGCAGGAUUAUCCGUCCGAGUACAUCCAGGACCCGUCGUGCGACCAGGUCCCGGUCGAAGCAUCCGACAAUGUGGAGGAACCGCUGGAACCGGGUACCCAGCGGCAGUACUCGCUCAACGAUUUUGAACUGAUCAGGGUCAUCGGCCGCGGUAGCUACGCCAAGGUGCUGAUGGUCGAACUGAAGAAAACGCGGCGAAUCUACGCGAUGAAGGUCAUCAAGAAGGCCCUGGUCACCGAUGACGAGGACAUCGACUGGGUCCAGACGGAGAAGCACGUCUUCGAGACAGCGUCCAACCACCCGUUCCUGGUCGGGUUGCACUCGUGCUUCCAGACGCCCUCUAGACUGUUCUUCGUGAUCGAGUUCGUCCGCGGUGGGGAUCUGAUGUUCCACAUGCAGCGCCAGCGACGUCUUCCGGAGGAGCACGCCCGGUUCUACGCGGCCGAAAUCAGCUUGGCGUUGAACUUCCUGCACGAGAAGGGCAUCAUCUAUCGGGAUCUGAAGCUGGACAAUGUGCUGCUGGAUCACGAGGGCCACAUCAAGCUGACCGAUUACGGCAUGUGCAAGGAGGGCAUCCGCCCGGGCGAUACGACCUCGACGUUCUGCGGUACGCCGAACUACAUCGCGCCGGAGAUUCUCCGCGGGGAGGACUACGGGUUCUCCGUGGAUUGGUGGGCUCUGGGAGUCCUGCUGUACGAAAUGUUGGCCGGGCGUAGUCCGUUCGACAUUGCCGGUGCUUCCGAAAAUCCUGAUCAGAACACCGAGGACUACCUGUUCCAAGUGAUCCUGGAGAAGACGAUCCGUAUUCCGCGUUCGCUCAGCGUCAAGGCCGCCUCGGUGCUCAAAGGUUUCCUCAACAAGAACCCGGCCGACCGUCUCGGCUGUAACCGGACUGCGGCCUUCAUGGACAUUGUCAAUCAUCCGUUCUUCAAGAGCAUCGACUGGGAGGCGCUCGCGCAAAAAGAGGUCACUCCGCCGUACAUUCCGUCGUUCGAUGGGUGCGACCAGGACAUUACCUGUCACUUCGAUCCGCAGUUUACGCGGGAACCGGCCGAACUCACCCCGGACGAUCCCCGCGUAAUCGACAAGAUUGACCAGAGCGAAUUCGAAGGCUUCGAAUACGUGAACCCGCUGCUAAUGUCGCUGGAAGACUGCGUUUGACAUCACGCAUCCUGCGAGCUGCAUCCGUACAACAUGCAGUUUUGAAAGACACAAAGUCCGUUUUACCAUUACCGAGAGACAAGCGUUACCAUUUACUACCCAAACUACUACAACUACCACUACAGUUAGAACGGCUAGAACUCUACCCCCUAAGAAACCGAUGCGCCACAGAAGACAAGAACGCAACCGAAGCCCGAAUCCAUUAGUUAUUACUACGACAUAACUAAGCCCCCUUUGAGUUUUGAUUUCGGAACGUGAUACGUGUAAUUGUCUUGAGUUGACUUUGUGUUCCCGUUUUUUGAAUGUGUAGAUCAUAUCGAACCGUCUAUUUUGUAUGAUUCCAUCUUUUCGUUUUUUUUCGGUACUGGGAGAAAUUUACGGUGACGAUUCGAGCGAUUACGAUUCCGUUGUGGAUGAACUAAGUAUUCUUCAAUUACCUCCGCCGCCUCAGAAGAGCCUCCUGCAGCACAUGUUUUGCCUUCCAUUGAACUAACGCCACAGCCCCCUAGUUCUUUUGAUUUGUUUUAUUUUCUCCUUCAAUCGCCGAUUCUUCAUUCGUCGUCUAACUGAAUUUGCACGCUCUGAAGAUCGUGACACCAAUAUAUUAAUUAUCACCCAACUAGGAACUGUAAAUGGAUUGGAUACCUACACUGAAACAAAUCACGAUGGGAUAACCAACCGAAAAGCGCCACAAAUUCGAAUUCGUCUGGUGGCACAUUGGCGAAUAUCGAGCAUAGCCCUAAAAAAACUUUUACACCUAAGCCCAAAACUAACAUGAAAUUUAUUCACAAAUUCCAAUAGUCUAUCAUCGGUAAGAGACCUAAGCGAACGAUUGAUGAUGAACUGUGAGAAAUGAAACUAGCGCAACUACUGAAGACGAUAUUUGUCUCAGAAAAUUCCGUAUCAAAAUGUGAAUCGAUGAAGGUUAAACAAUUGUUAAUAUGAUACUUAACAUGCAUGAUAAAUCAAGAAAAUGAAAAGCCUCAAAAAAUUGCGGGGAAAAUGGAUAACAUUUACUAUUCAAACAACUAUUCGUUUAUGGGAAACAGUUCCAUAGGAAAACUGAGAUAAACAAAAUAGAUAAACUGCACAGCGUUAACAAACAGAAAAGACAAAACUAAUUGCAUAUUGUAUAGGUGAGAAAUAAAGUUUAGCUAACGAAAGAAAAAGAUAUUCAAGCGCAAAAAGAUUAACAAAAUUGAAAAGAUUUUAAACUUUUAAAAAUCAAACACUGAAAGAAAAGACAGAGAGUAACAAAAUUGAUUUACCGAACUAGAAUUAAUUAAAUUCCAAUUGCGAAAAGAGGGACAAGCGAUAUCCCAAAGUAGUGAACCGUGUUAGAUAAAUCAUUCAAAUUAUUCAGAAAGGAAAAAAAGGCAACGGAAAACGUCACUAGAAAAAGACAGUUUUUAUAAAAUAUUUAAUUCAUCACCUUACCAUACAAACCAAAAUCGAGAUAUGGCGAGACCCACUAUCUAGCUAUCUAUCCAAUUGCAAGAGCAAAACUAUUCCUAGAGAAAUGUCAGCUGAAGUGAAACACUCUGUGACAUCUUAAACAAAAAAGACAACCCAUUCCAAAUGAUGAUUAAAAUCUUUUCAAACAUAACCUUGAGGAAAAAACACCUGUUACCUGUUAGUAGUACUUUGUUUAGUCGUCUGUGAGUAUAUAUUUUUCCCCCGACGAAAAAAAAAACAGAAGAUGAAUACACAUUCCACAGAGGGAGGGAGGAGGAGAAAGCGAGGUAAAGCGACAUGUCCAUUCCACAACGUGCAUGAAUCCCGGUGGCGUCGAAUCGGAUUAUUAUUUAGGUUAGAUCAACUCGUUUUCAUGAGCGCAUUUCGGUCGGUGUACUUAAGAACAACAGGUAGUAUAGCAGUAAUUGCGCAACAUUCAUUCAUAUUAGUUAGAGAGUUUGUAGGUUAGAAUUGUGCGGAUGAUGACGUGCCGAUAGUUUCGAGAUAGACCCUGAUGAAGCCCUCUCGAAACGUACACGUUGGAGUCCUCUGGCUGCUACUUAAUAUUGUAUUUAUUUAUGUCUACUUUUUCGUUUCAAUUUCAGUUAAUGUUCGUUUUCACUCUGUUUUGUUCACUUACUUACUUAGUUUAAUUGUAUACUAAAUGAGUAUUUGUCGUUCUGCUUAAGUUUCGUAACCGGUUCCAUUUCCCACGCGGUCGCUAGAGUAUUAUCAGUAUUUUUCCGCGCUCUAACACUUUUUCUUCCACAUCAUGUUACAUUUAAAUGAAAACCAGAAGAGAGAAAAAACAAACAAUUAUUAUGAGACAUUAUUACAGUAAAGAAAAAAUAAAUGCUGAAAUUGAAUAUUUCGAA